rnacentral:rRNA from 1 species
GAUGAACGCUGGCGGCGUGCCUAAUACAUGCAAGUCGAGCGAACGGACGAGGAGCUUGCUCCUCUGACGUUAGCGGCGGACGGGUGAGUAAUACGUGGAUAACCUACCUAUAAGACUGGGAUAACUUCGGGAAACCGGAGCUAAUACCGGAUAAUAUAUUGAACCGCAUGGUUCAAUAGUGAAAGACGGUUUUGCUGUCACUUAUAGAUGGAUCCGCGCCGCAUUAGCUAGUUGGUAAGGUAACGGCUUACCAAGGCAACGAUGCGUAGCCGACCUGAGAGGGUGAUCGGCCACACUGGAACUGAGACACGGUCCAGACUCCUACGGGAGGCAGCAGUAGGGAAUCUUCCGCAAUGGGCGAAAGCCUGACGGAGCAACGCCGCGUGAGUGAUGAAGGUCUUCGGAUCGUAAAACUCUGUUAUUAGGGAAGAACAAAUGUGUAAGUAACUAUGCACGUCUUGACGGUACCUAAUCAGAAAGCCACGGCUAACUACGUGC